rnacentral:lncRNA from 1 species
CAGCAUAAUUUACAACAUGUUUAGAAAGCUCAAUGAAAUCAUCUUUCUGCACUGUAUCACUAUGAAAAGCUUUCAGACUGAAAAGUUGAAGCGCAUCUUUGGGAUUCAAUGUUGUGGGCUCAUACAUAUCAUCAACUGGCCAAGAUCGAAGCAAAUGUUCUUCUCUUGUUGUUACAACGAUUCUACUUCCUAAUCCGAACCAAUCGUGCCUUCCAACCAAGCAUUUUAAGUGUUGUAUGUUAUCAACAUUAUCAAGAACAACAAGAACCUUUUUGUGAGACAACCUAUGGCUAAUUAUGUCACUCCCUUCAUGAACAUCGAAAAAGUUGAAGCAUUCACCAUGAAAGAUCUGUGAAAGAAGUUGUUUCUGUAAAGAAACUAGUCCGCAUUUGUCUGAAACUUCUCGAAUAUCAGCAAUAAAGCUUUUACCUUCAAAAUGAGAUGACAUUUGAGUGUAAGCAGCUCUUGCGAGUGUCGUUUUACCGAUACCACCCAUUCCGCAAAUUCCUAUAACUCGGACAUCAUCUUCCCCAAUGUUAAUUUUCAAAUAUAAAUCCUCCAAGCGUUUACUAAUUCCAACCAAGUCGCUAUGAGUAGCUGGAUAUGUCUGACAUAGUUUUGCUGAUAUCUUCUUGACAAUGUCUUUAAUAAAUUCUGAUUCAUGCCUAAAAAAAAGAGAGGAAAAUUUAAUGUUUUGAAUAAAAUUUUGUUGAUAUGUUUCAAAUACACUUUCUUUUUCAAUGAAUCAUCAAACAUAAUAUAGUUUGGAAGCAAACAAGAACCAAGAAUAAGAAAGCAAGAUCUGUUGCGGAGCCAGAAUACAAAGUUUGCUCUUUCAUUGAAAUAUAACACUUUUCAAUUAAACAAAUAGGAUUAGAAAGAAAAAAAAGUUAUACAUAUAUAUCCAAAAAACUAGAAAAUAAAGAAGAAAAGAAAGAAUUACCUGUUAUUUAAAUGCCAUCCCUUGAUUGCAGCCACUUGAAUUAAAGCAUUUCGCCAUCUUUGGAUCUUCUCACUAUCUUCUUUGUAUCUCUCUUUAUGUCUGGCAAAGGCUUCUUCCACUUUCUCUUUUUGUUUUCUUAAAUCAGAUGGACCAACAUGGUAAAAAAUUGGAAACACUUUAUGGCCGUCGUUGUUAUGUUGUUUAACAAUCUCAGCAAGCUCCUCCAAGCACCAACUUGAAAAGGCAUAAGUUUGUGAAAAAACGAUUACUGAGCACCAUGAUUGGUGAAUUGCUUUAAAGAGUUCAGGUGCGAUCUCUUCGCCGGCCUCCAGCUUUGGAUCAUCUCUGAAAGUGACGAUCCCACUCCUACUUAGAGCAUCAUAGAGAUGAUCGGUAAAGUUGUUGCGGGUAUCUUCACCUCUGAAACUCAAGAAAACAUCGUAUUUUUUUCUAGAAAUGGAGGAAGAAGGUAACGACAACAUGAGGAUGUAUGAAAGGAGGAGGAUAUUUCAAUCUGGUGUUCAAAAUCAGAAAAUAAUGAAUAUAUGAGGAAAAACAUAUGAAAAAUAGAAGAGGGCCGGGUGAUAUGUUCGUUCCAUGAAGGUGAGAAUUAAAAAUAUUGGACGGUUUGUAUUUUAUGUACUUAACAAUGAAAGAUAAUAAUUAAAAACAUUAGUUUUCGAAAUGAAAGGGAGUAGGUGUGGAAAUUCGGGGUUAUUGAUGUUGUUUCCGGGAAGACUCCAAGAAGGUGAGAGUAGACAAAAGACACUCAAAUUUCUCAAAUAUCUUAAACAUUUGGGGUUUGACAAGCUCAAUUACUUCCAGAACCGGCGACCUGGAUUCCAAAUUCCAAUAAUUCUUUUCCGCGAAAAUCAAACUAAUCAAAGAUAUAUAGAUGAAUAAAUAAAAAUAAAAGAGUGAGGAAUUAAGGAUAAAAGUAUUCAAAUCUGCCUAAUUUCAGGAAUCAAAGAGUUGAUUCACGAAAUGUCAAAGUCAGAGUGAACAGUGACUAGGAAAAUGGUUUUUUUAACAAAAAAUAAGAAGUUAAGAACAGAGGUAUACUGACUAAUGAAGUUUUAAUCCCACAAGUAAUUUUACAAGCUUUUCCCAGAGGUUUUAGGUGAAAUACUGGGGACCUUUUAAGCGGUGAAAAUCUCCUCUCAAAUUUCUAUGGUUUUUGUUACUAAAAUGAAAAUAAAAUUUUAAAAAAUAAAAAAAAAUGAAGCCAAUUAAAAUAUGCACAUUUAAAUUAUGUAAAAAAAAUGAAUUAAGUGACUAAAAUUUUAAAUGGUAUGAAAGAAUGUAAUCAACAUUUGGGAUAUGUAUAGAAUAUGAGCUCAUGUUGAAUAUGAGUAUGAAUAAAAAAUUCAAAUUUGUUUGAUAUAUACGAAGGAAUGUAAAUAAGUCUAGAAUGAUUAAAUUAAAUAAAAGAUGUAAACAAUAAUUAAUAGGACAAGGUUGGUUAAGUAGUUUACCACAGUUAAUGCUUCUUUCCCGAUUGGCCCAUUAUAAAAUUGAAAAUUUUUUGCAUCAGUUUUGGUUGCGGCCCUUCUUCCUCUGCUUCCUCGUAUAUAUUACGUUUUCGUUUUAUGUGAGAAGUGCUACCUACUAAUGGAUAAUCUUUUUGAGCAGAGUGUUGGUGGAUGUGUUCAAAAUUGGGAGAAGAUUGAGUGGUAUGUCACUGCAACUCUUUUAUUUCUUCCAAAUCUUUCUCAUACACUAUUCUAAUACCACACUUGAUCUUCACCUUACCGCCUCUAGAUCUACCUGAGAAAGACAUCCGGAGCUCAUCGUAUUUUUUAUCUAAGCAAUUUAUUGUCCAUAAAUUAUUGGUUUUACAGUCACCAUAUUUAUCCUCCAUGGAAAUUGGAUAUAAUAUAUGCUUUAUCCGCCAAAAACAAAGAAAAAGAUGAUAUUUAAUUAUGGGCAGGUGAAAUCCUCUAUCCACCGACGAGUUACUCCAAGCAAAAUUUAGAGAAAUUUUACCUCGAUAUAAUUUAUGGGUGGCUUGUUGAAAAUUUCUAUACAAGAUAGAUCCAUUACAACUGAUAAUCUCGCUUGAAGCAUCAUUAUCGACAAAAAUGCAGCAACAAGCAACUCCAAUCCAUUGACUAUCAUUCCGAAGGUUGAUAGGUUAGGGUACCUAAAUUGAAGAGCCACUUUUUUGUUGGCCAAACCAUUCUGGGAUUUCACUUCCGGGCAUAACAAUAUCAAACGGUUUUCUUGAAUUUGCAAAUGCCUGCAAAAUAAAACACAAGUCGUUUGGCAACUAAAACCAUAAAUUCUCAAGUAUGAGAUUUUGUAAGGGAGAAAAAAUAGAGUAAUCGACCUUGUUAGGAUCGUCUCGAUUAAGCAACGAACAAGUAAAAAUAGUAGAAGAAAUUGAGAAGAUGAACACACAAAUUUAACGUGAAAAAACCCCUCAAAAGAGGAUAAAAAACCACGGGCAAAGAUAAUUUUACUAUAAUGGCAAAAGAAUGAAGAGUACAAAAGAUGGAGAUAAAAACUAAACCCCGAAAACCCGAAAAACAAAGAACCCUCAAACGUAAACACAAAAUUCUCUGAAUGUGUUAUGAGUUCUAAUCUAAUGGGUGUCUCAUUUUCUAAGAUUGUAAAGAAGCCUAUUUAUAGGCUAAAUUAGUAAGUCAAAUAAACUAUACUAAUAAAUGCUAAAUAUAUUAUACUAAUAAAUACUAAAUCUUCUAGAAAGAAAAUAUAUUUUUGUUUAACUUGACUUGCAAGCAAUCUCUUAGAAUUUGGGUCACACAAUUCUAACAAUCUCCACCUUGACACAAAUUCUUUCAAUGCCAUCUUUGCCAAAACCCGCCACGGGCCUAUCUUGAACUAUGCAGGGAAUUAACUGAGUCGAAUCUAUGCUUAGAAGCUGGAAGACUUCUAGCCUUCGACUUGUGCACUGCCAAAUCAAAACUAACCCAGGUCUGAUUUUCACGAAUACAGUGCCCUAACUUUUCAAAACCUGCAUCCAAAAGAGAACCUCUCUUCAACGAAACGGUCAUACCUUUUUCCCUCCUAUGACCAAGUUGCCUCCGCUUCAAAUGAGUUGACUUUGACUCCGUAACGGACGAGGGACGUCCGAUUUCACCGGUCACUGUAGAACCUUCCAGAAUAUAAAGACUGCCGGUUCUUUUACCUUUUAACAAAACGAGAGCUCCACGAGAUACUUUAAUGUCGCUCGACUCGAUGUUGAUUCUGCAUCCUUUCAAGUCUAAAAUACUCAAGGAGAUGAGAUUCUUUCGUAAAUCAGGUACAUACCUGACAUCUGAGAGUGUCCUAAUCGUCCCAUCGUGUAUCCUAAUUUUAACAGUACCAAUACCGAUUAUUUUACUAGAUGAAUCGUUUCCCAUGUGCACAACUCCACCUUCAACUGAACUGUAUGUGGAGAACCAUUCUCUAUUGGGACACAUGUGGAAAGAACAUCCUGAAUCUAGGAUCCACUCAGACGUAAGCUUGGAGUUAUCGCUCGUUGACACUAACAAGAAAUCAUCACCACCUUCAUCGACCAAAUUAGCACCAGCUACAUCUUCCUCGUUACUCUCAGCAGCUCUUUUAUUUCGCAGUUUAUAACAAUCUGCUUUGACGUGACCUAACUUUUUGCAAUAGCGACACCUUUUGUCUCGUUUCUUUGAUGCUACCAAAACGGAAGCUUGUCUAUCUGCUUUGCUAUUCAAAUCAAACUCAUUGUCGAGUUUGUCUCUACUCAACAAAUGACCCUUCACAUCUUCGAACGAGAGUUUGUCUCUGCCAUAAAUCAGGGUCUCCCUGAAAGACUUGUAUGAAGAGGGUAAAGAGCACAAUAAUAGCAUAGCUUGAUCUUCAUCGUCAAUAUAAACCUCAACGUUCUUUAAAUCAUUUAAAAGAGUAAUGAAUUGACUGAUGUGAUCUUUAAGAAGCUCACCUUCGUUCAUGCGAAACGUAAAUAGACGUUGUUUCAACACUAAACGGUUAGCCAGAGACUUAGUCGAAUAAAGAGUUUCUAACCUUUUCCACAAGGCGAAUGAGGUUUUCUCCAUCAAUACCUCCUGUAAUACUGUAUUCGCGAGGCACAACUGGAUUGCAGACAAGGCCUUUUCAUCAAGCUCUUCCCAUUCUGUUUGAUUUAGAUUCUCAGGCUUUUUCCCUGUAACAACCUUUUUCAAGCCAUUUUGAACUAGAAUUGCCAUCAUCCGAACUUGCCACAGAUUGAAAUUUGUCUCACCAUCGAACUUCUCAAUUUCAAACCUUGUUGCUGCCAUAUCUGACCGGGCUGAUCCAUGAAAGUUAAACUAGCUCUGAUACCACUUGUUAGGAUCGUCCCGAUUAAGCAACGAACAAGUAAAAAUAGUAGAAGAAAUUGAGAAGAUGAACACACAAAUUUAACGUGGAAAAACCCCUCAAAAGAGGAUAAAAAACCACGGGCAAAGAUAAUUUUACUAUAAUGGCAAAAGAAUGAAGAGUACAAAAGAUGGAGAUAAAAACUAAACCCCGAAAACCCGAAAAACAAAGAACCCUCAAACGUAAACACAAAAUUCUCUGAAUGUGUUAUGAGUUCUAAUCUAAUGGGUGUCUCAUUUUCUAAGAUUGUAAAGGAGCCUAUUUAUAGGCUAAAUUAGUAAGUCAAAUAAACUAUACUAAUAAAUGCUAAAUAUAUUAUACUAAUAAAUACUAAAUCUUCUAGAAAGAAAAUAUAUUUUUGUUUAACUUGACUUGCAAGCAAUCUCUUAGAAUUUGGGUCACACAAUUCUAACAGACCUUAAGAUGUUUUUCCGGCAGUAUUAAUGCAUUGAUAUUCUCAGCCAAUUUGAAGCAGCUAAUGGCUUUAACGGUAGCCCCGUACACUGGAUUGCAUAUUAAUGGACUUGGAACUACUUCAAGUGAAUAACAACCAUCUAUCCCCACCUCUUUUAUACUUGGUAGCUCAGGCAACGAUUUAAGCAUCUUGCAAUCUGACAAGUGACAAUCUAAUAGAAUGAAGCUUGGAAAAUCGAAUAAUAGAUGCAGGUAUGUUGAUGAAAUUGUUACCACUAAGACCAAGAUCUGUCAAGGAGGAUAGGCAAGAAAUAUCACGUGGAAUAUCUCCUUCGCCAAGAUUGCAGUCCCUUAGCUUUAACUUUCUUAAGGAACUCAAACCUGACAACGAAGGUAACAUCGGAGCCAUGGAGUUUGUCCUUCCUCUUCGAUUAACUUGAAAAGAGAAGGAAGAUUUUGUUGUAACUUACCCUUGUCCGAUAGUUAUAUUUUAUCAUAAGAUUCUUAUGCAUAUCAGAAUAUGGGUAUUAAUAUAUGAUCCCUUAGAAACUCUUUAAUUACAUAAAAAAAUAACUUUUUAAAAAAAUAUUCAUACCCGUAUUAAAAUAUGAGCAAAUCCAGACUGUCACCUUCAAUUCACCGUCAACCUAAUUCUAAGAAUGACAUUUAUGUAAUAUUUUUGUCAAACCCAAAAUAAUUCAUAAUUAUCAAAGAAAUUUAUAACUUAAAAAAAUUUAAGGUUCAAAUCUAAAAUGAUGUAAACUCAAGAUGAUUUGAAUUAUCACAUAAAAAUUGAACUCUACCUCAAACCUAAAAUAACUUAAAUUCAAAUUUAGUUAAAAAAAAACUUCAAACUUGAAUUGAGAAAUCUACAUAUAUCUUGUUUUCUAACUAUUUUUUAGAUUUAUUACACCUUAAAGAAAUAUAUUACUUGGGAAAAAUAAAGGGGUUAGUGAGAAUGAGGGUGAUAGAGGUUAAUGUGAACAUGAAUGAUUAAGUCAGUAAGAACUUUGUAUAGCAUGGGGAAUUACAAAUGUAUACUAUAGAUAUUUGUAAACAUUUCACCCUUUCUAAUUAUCGUUUUCUGCUUAUUGGGUAAAUAAAAUAAAAGUUAUCCAAAAUUCCUUUUUAGAAUUUUUUUUUUUGACUCUUUUGUGAAUAUAAAUGAUCCAUGCAUAUUGUUACGUAAACUGUCAUAUUACUGUCAUUAAAAUUUUGACAAUAUAGAUAACUUUUUCAUUCAAAACAAAACAAUUUGACUAAAUUUUAAUGACAAAAUGAAUAAAUAUUAAGGGCUAAAUUUAUCUUUAUGCUAAAAACUUAAAGCCAGAUUUGAUUCGGUCCAUAUUAACUCAACUCACUCAAUUGACAUAUCUACAUAUAUCUCGUUCUCUAAUUAUUUUCUGCUUUCCAAAUAUUAUCAAGCUCCAGCUUGACUCAAAAUUUAAAGCUUGAUAUCCAGUUCAAGCUAAGCUCAAGAUAUAAUCUAGUUGCUCGAGCUCGAAUUCAAAUAAGCUUAUUUAUCAAUUUUUGUACUCAAACUCGAACUUGAUUAAACUUGUUUAUCAAUUUUCAUACUCAAGAUCGAACUUGAGCUCGAGCUUGACUCGAUAAUUAAACUUAAGGUUAAUAAUAUAUAUAUUAAGUAAUAAUGUAAUUUAAUAAAAAAAUAUUUAAAAUGUAUGUUAAAAUUGAAAAGCUCAGUAAGGCUCGUGAGCUAUUCAAGCGGAGUUUUACUAAGCUCGUAUUCGGUUCAAUUGAUAGCUCAAAUCCGAGCUCAUCUUAAUAAUUAUCAAAUCAAGUUUGAGUUUUUUUCUAUGGCGAACUCCCCCAUAUUGGCGAAUCCUUCAAUAUUGGCAAGUUACCACAAAGUGGCGGCCCGAUUACUUUGGCGAACUAAGAAUAUGAACUGGAUUUGACGAACUUGCAUGCAAGAUAUGUUUAUAGAUUAUGUUUCCUUUCUAGAAAAUUUAUUAUUUAUUAGCAUAAUAUAUUUUUUAUUUAUUAAUAUAAAAUAUUUUUAUUUCUUUCCAUAUUUAGGAGUUUUUUAUAUUAUAAAUAUCUUUGUUUUAUUGUUCAAAUGUUGUGAGUAAAAUAUAUAAAACUUUAGCAAACAAUUUUGUUGCUAAAUUUCUUGUUUAUACUCUAUAACUAUUUCUUCUUUAGUAUCGAAAUUCCAACAAUUAUCAUGUAAUCUAUUAAUUGUUUAUAUUUAUUAAAAGUGUAUCUAUUACACUUUUAAAAACUUACAAUUUUCACGUCAUAAAAAAUAUACAUGUGAAAUUAAGGGUGAAUAAAAUCCAAUUCGAUUCGAAAAACUCGAUAAAAAAUUUAAUUUUUGAAUUACAUAGUUCGAGUUAUUAGAGUUAAUCGAAUUAUUCGGAUCAACUAGAAUAAAAAAUCAUAUUUUUCGGUUUAACUCGAAUAUGAAUUAUACAAUUCAAGUUAUCUGAAAAUCCGAAUAAGAAAAAGUAAAACUAAGUUGUUUUGAUAAAUGCUUACAUUUUCUAAAGUUAAAAGUCCAAAUUUUCGGUUUAAUAUGAAUUUUUUUAACUCGAUUCGACUCAACUCAAUCGAAUAUGUGAAAGAUUAAUAAAUUCAGUGUGAAGGCAGCCUUUAAUUUAUUUAUUUCAGUUUACUUUAAUUCAUUUAAUUUUGAUUAAGAUUAAUAAAUUUAUUCAAUACGCUAUAUUAAACAAAUUAAUUAAAAACUUUAAUAAACGUCAUUCUAAAUUACUAUUUGAAUUUACAUUUUGUAUUAAAAAAAGUUGUAUAAUUUAUAUUACAUUACAUAUUAAAAAGAAGUAAUUAUCUAAUAACAUAACCCAUUUUUGAAACCCCAAUUCGGUCGAGUCUAUUAUUACUUUAGAGUCUGCUUCCAUUUCAACUGGGCAACUUCUGUUGGUCCUCCACUUCCAUGAGCGAACUUCCAUGCUUUUAUUGAUCUAGGCAGUAAACAUAAAGCACCAAGAUCAUUUUCUUGCACUCAGAUCAUCUAUGUUAUUGAUAUUUUGGCUUACCUCAAACCGAGCAGCUUUAGUUAAUCCCACAAGAAACACAACUGUCAAAAUCCUUGCUCGUCUCAACCAAAAACCUUAACAUAUUUCCCUAAACUCUAACAUUAGACAAGACAUACCAAGAAUCAGUGAUAAAUGAAAAGGUUUUCAAUCCCGUUAGAAGAGAUAUUACCACUUAAAUGUAGCAAUUAGUGCAUGUUGCUUUCAAUGAAAUGCAUCUACUUCUAAGCUAAUUCUUACUUUUUAUACAUUCAAACAUAUAUUACUGUUUUCUUAUCUAAACUAUAUCCUUAGCUUGAAUAAUAUUAAUUUUACUUUAAGCCAUGAAGUUUAAAUGAUACUUCUGUUAGCCCUUUUAAGUACUAUUCAGCACCCAUACAAACUACAAAAUGAAGCUAUUAAUUUAAAUACUAAAGAAGCAUGCACUGAAUCACACCUACGCACAUUACAGGCAUCCAAUGGUAUUUUCUCUUAUUAUUCCCUUUUUUUUUCAUAAAGUAUUUAUAUUUAAUAUUAUGUUUGACAUAUAUAUAUGUAUAUCAUCUUCCAAAUAGAUAAAAAACAAUUUUAAUAGAUUAAACUGGACACAUAUCAUAUUUAAUAGAUACAUAUAUAUUGUUAAAGUUGUGUGACCUAAAUUUUAAGAGAUUAUUUGCAAGUUAAGUUAAAUAAAAUAUUUUUUUUUCCAGAAGAUUUAGUAUUUAUUAGUAUAAUAUAUUUAGCAUUUAUUAGCAUAGUUUAUUUGACUUACUAAUUUAGCUUAUAAAUUGGUUCUUUUACAACAUUAGAAAAUUACACCCAUUGGAGAUUAGAACUCAUAACACAUUUAGAGAAUUUUGUGUUUAAGUUUUCUAGAGUUCUUUGUUUUUGUGUUUUCGGGAUUUAGUUUUUAUCUCCAUCUUUUGUACUCUUCGUUCUUUUGCCAUUAUAGUAAAAUUAUCUUUGCCUGUGAUUUUUCAUCCUCUUUAGAAGGAUUUUUCCACGUUAAAUUUGUGUGUUCAAAUUUUCAAUUUAUUCCGUUAUUUUUUAUUUGUUGCUUAAUCGGGUUGAUCCUAACAUAUAUUUAAUCUUAUUAUUCCCCUUGAGAUUGAUCAUUUUCAAUUUAUACAUGGGAUGUUGAAAACAAUAAUAAAUUGAAGAGGAAAAAGAAAACACAAGAAAGCUCAUUUCUAUUCAUAUUUUUUUUUAUUCAAAUCUUAAUAGCUUAUAUUAAAAUAAGAUAAAUCAUAAGGAUCAAAUGAAUUUAAUUCUCAAUUUAUUUCCCUUUCAUAGUUGUUCAAUGUCAUUAUAUGUUAAGAGAAAUGCGAUAAAAUUGUUUGGUUGGAAGUUUAAAGGCAAUGAUCUUGAAGGAUAUCCUUUCCAAUUUAAAAGUUGUAACUCAUUAGAAAGAUAUUUGAAAUUAUCACAAUUUGAGUGAAAAAGGACUUUGAAUAAUCUCAACUUUUUUAUCUUUGAAAAGGUAUCAACACUCAAAUUGAACUUCUUGUUCAAUUCCCUGAAAACAAUGGACAAAAUAAAAUUGAACUUUAAAAUAUACAAAAACAUUCAAUAUAUCUAAUACUUGUAUUUGAUGGAUAACCACAUUCGAUAUUGAAAUACAAUCCUUCAACAGCUUUUUAAAUACAUGAACCUCAAAAAAGAACAACUAGACUUAAUCAUGUCAAAAACAUUUUCACAAUUUACUUUAAAUUACAUAAACCUAAAUUUACUAAAAUUAAUAUUUUAAUUUAUAUUUAGGGCAUUCAUAAUGCGUAUUUUUAAAUAUUUUCAAUGAACCAAAUAAUGUUUUAAUUUAUAUCAGUAUAGUCUCAAGGGCAAAAUCAGAAAAAAAUUUUAAGGGGUCGAAAUUAAAUUAUAAUUUUUACGAUAGAAAAAAAACGCUAUUUCACCAUUUUAAUAGAUUAUAUCUUUAUAAAAGGACCAAAGUAUAAUUUUACCUGUACAGCCCAAAUUUUCCUGGGCCUCCAAACCAAAUGGUUAACCCAAUCUCGAAGCCCAAUUACAAUACCCGGCCCAAGGCCCAAAAUCUAAAUUGGCCCAAUUGGGCCCAAAAAUUAAAAAACAUCAGGGAACCCUAGGGUUCCCUGCCUUUCCCAUGUGCGCUGCUCCCUCGGGCGUACCAUCCGCGCCUCGUCCCGAGGCUUACCUGACACCCUAGCCACCGCCAGCCAAGCAUUGCACCAAAAUAGCAAGCUCUUCCUCUGCUGACCACCUGCAAGAAAAGAGAAAGAAAAGACUACCGAAUAGAGGCAGAAACAACAACAAGUAGCAGCGAAAGUAUUGUAUAUUGGUUAUAAAAAGUCAAUACGAUUUCUUUGUAACAGAUGGGGGGGUUUUGGAUUCUCUUUUCCUUUUCUUUUGUAAUAUUUUCACAGAAAUAAGAAACAAAUAUCAAAGGUGAUUUUCGGCCCUUUUCGUUUUCGUUUUUACAUAUUUUAACCUUUUUAUUGUAUUUUUUUUCUUUUGGUUCAUCUAUUUAUAUACAUAUAAUAAAAAUAAAGAAAAAAAGGGGAGAGACUCACCGGAAAUAGGGCUUGAAACGCCAGUUUUCUCACUUGAUCGGCCGUCGGUUUAACGCCGGCGCGGCAGGCGGACGAGCGGUGGUGAGAAGCCCGAUCGACGAGAGACAUGGGGGGCAUUAAGAGGAUUUCUGAUUUUUUUCUGAUGGGGAAGGAAAAAUGAAAAGAAUUAAAAAAAUGGGUUUAAAAUAGAUAAAUGAAACGGCGCCGUUUUGAUGGGGUCAGGAAAGCCCCAAAAUGACGUCGUUUUGGGCUCCUGACCUGAGACCUGACCCUCCUACCCCAGGGGAUCCGCGUGUUUUGACGGAAGGGCUAAUUGCACGUUUAGCCCUUCCGCUUUUUAAUUAUUUUUAAAUUAGGUUUUUUAUAUUUUAAAUUUACCCCGUUAAUUUAUUGCGCUUUCAAUAUUAGUCCCUUCUGAAACUACGUCGUUUUAAAGAAGAAGGACAAAUUUCCUUUUUAGCCCCUCCAUGUCUUUCACGUAUUCAGAGUAGUCCUUCCUCUUUUGUUUAUUUGUGUUUUGAGCUCCGAAUCUUGUUUUAAUGUUUAAUCUAAUCCUUUUGUUAUUUUGUUUAUUUUCUUAAUAAAUUUCAUAUUAUUAUUGCUUUUAUAUAUAUAGGAGUAUAUCUUUUUCUUUAUAUUUUUACAUAUAUACUUAUAUAAAUAAUUUUUAUAUUUUAUGAUAAUUAUAUACGUAUAUAUGUACAUAUUUACUUAUAUAUAUUUUAUAUAAUAAUUUUAGAAUACAUAUAUACAUAUAUUUUUCAUGUUUUUAUAAAUUUACGUACACUCAUUUUUAUAACGUAUAUACUUAUAUUUUAUAUAUCUUUGUAUUUUAUAAUCUAUAUACAUAUGCAUGUAAAUACUUAUAUUUUUAUAUCUUAUAAUUUAUAUAUAUUCUCAUAUUUACAUAAUUUUAUGUAUAUAUAUACAUAUAUAUUUCCCUUAAAUGUACAUACACAUGUUCAUAUUUUAUAAUUUUCAUCUAUUUUCCUUUAUUUUUUUAUGUUCAUUUAUGUAUUUAUUUAUAUGUCCAUUUUCAUGUUUUAGUUUAUUUAUUUAUUUAUUUGUUAUGGUAUAUACAUAAUUUUUUUAUUAUUUGUUUUUUUGCUCAUAUUAUUUUUGUUCACAUUAUCUUUUUUUUUCAUUAUGCAUAUUAACACCACACUUCAAAAAAGAAAAUUUUUCUAAAUGAGGCAAUAUUUAGCGUUUGGAAAUUCGAGAAAACGUGCCCUAAGGUGGUGGGUGUCGAUUUUUCUCGUUCAACCAAAUGGCUUAAUAUCCUUUUAAAAAUUUGUAAAAUAAGGCAAUGUUUUGCGUUUGGGAAAUUCGAGAAAACAUGCCCUAAGGUGCUGGGUGUCGAUUUUUCUCAUUCAACCAAAUGGUUAAAUAUCCUUUUAAAAUAUUUUCAAAAUAAGGCAAUGUUUUGUGUUUGGGAAAUUCGAGAAAACAUGCCCUAAGGUGCUGGGUGUCGAUUUUUCUCAUUCAACCAAAUGACUAAAUAUCCUUUUAAAAAUUUCGAAGUAAGAUAAUAUUUUGCGUUUGGAAAUUUAAGGAAAUGUGCCCUAAUGCGCUGGGUUUCGAUUUUUCCAUUUGACCAAAUAGCCAAAUAUUCUCUUAAAUCUUAAUCCAUGUCAUUCAAGUUUUUUUAGGAUCGUAUUUUAAAUCUCUUUAAAGUUUUCAAUUUUUCGACACUAAGACAUUGAGUAAUCAACUAGGUACCAAUUUUGGGCGUAUCGAGGGUGUUAAUCCUUCCUCGUGCGUAACCGACUCCUGAACCCGUUCUUCUGAAUUUCGUGGACCAAACUUGUUGUUUUAAUAAAAUCAAACCAUUUAUUAAAAACAACAUUUUUUCAAGGUGAUCCGAUCACACCUCAUCAAAAAGGAUCGGUGGCGACUCCUAUUUUCGUUUUCAUUUUCCAAAACCCAAGUCAACCCCAUUUUCAUAAAAAAAUGGUGUCAACAGCUUGGCGACUCCACUGGGGAGUUUAAAUACGAGAGUCAAGCCACGAGUUGAUUACUUUUUUUCUUUUCAUCGAAAAUUAAAGAUUUGGUUUAAAUUUACGAUCCUUUCAUUGCAUUUCAUUCAUUUCAAUUUUUUGAUUUGAUUGCUGUGAUAAUUUAAGUUUGGUAUACUGCUGUAUUGCAUUCCAUGACCGUGGGUCACACCCUCUUAAGUGGGAGUGAGAAACUAGUCCUUCGUGAGGUUUUCACCUCCGUGCAGGAUAGUGGAUCGCUUUCGGGAUACAUCCGUACCUAUGUCUUCGUGAGAUUUUCAUCUCCGUGCAGCCAUAGGGAAAUGUAUUCCCCUGAACCGAACUCAGUCUGUAUGAGCCUAUAAUGGGUGAAGAUCGAGGAAUCUGCUGGUUCGGGUACCUUAUCUUUAGAACCAACCCUCAUAUAGUGGACUUAGGAACUUAACCUAGGUAGAGCCACUCCAAAUCCCUAGUAUUUACCUGAUUAGGUAUUUUUUGUUUUUCGUGCUUGCUUAUGUUUUGUACCAACCCCUCUUGUUGUGUUUUGAUUAUGAUUGCAUUGCAUUGAAUUUGCAUCUUAGGAAAGAGAUAUGGAUUCAAGUUCGAUUACUAAAUUAGAAAGCUUGUCAUGGAAUACGAAUUCCUUGAUAAAGUGGGAAAUAAUACGACUUCCCGAAUAUAUUCUGAGGAACGCAAGAAGGGCGAUGGAAGAGUUCGUGACCCUACUUCGUAGCCUGAGGAUUCAAGGCGAUUGUCUAAGAGCCUUCGACGUUCCAAGAAGCUGACGAGCCUUAUGAAGAUAGGCAGAUGAUGGAUCGCGACCAAGAUCAAAAGAAGGAGCUAGCAAUGGCAUCUAUUGGCGAGAUUACCUCAAACAUGCGGAUGAAGAAAAAGACCGAUGUUGUUUCUUGGAAUAUGAGGGUGAGGCCGUACAUGCAUUUGCUUUAUGUAAAGGAAUUUGCUUUCUAGAAAAGUUUCCUAAAUGUAAUUGAAUUAGAAUCAACGUCUCUUUAGGCAUUCAUUUCAUGCAUUUACAUAUCAUCAUAUGCAUUAAAGUUUUAAAAAGGGAGCCUAAUUAAUUUAAAAUUAUGACAGAGUUACCCUGGAAACUAACAAAAAUUUGCCAACCGUUUAUCACUACGAUACCCGUUGCAAGACAAAAGCCAUGGAUCAAAGAUUCGAAAGACUCGAACAACUUCAAAAGGAGAUGCAGGAACAAAUGAAAGUGCGGUUAGAGAAGAUUCAACAAGAUAUGAGGAACGAAAUGAUAGAGUCUCAAAAAAGCAUGAUAGCUGAAUUGACGCAGUUGUUGAAAGGGGGAAACGACAAAGGAAAGGACCCCGUGGUUAAUACAGAAGAAGGAAAUAAUGAUAACCCUCUCUAUCCCCCAGGUUUCACCCCUCCGCACGCGCAAGCUCAAACUGAGGCGUACCUACACAAAUCCCCUAUUAGACCUCAGCUAUUUCCGAUAGGCACCUCGAUGCCAAUAAACUUCCAAAUUGGAGUAAGCUCUAACCCCGGAGAAAACCCUACCAAACCUAUCAUCCCAGAUAUCGACGAAGUGGCUGAGAAAAAGAAAACGACAGAAGGAUUGCCAAAGCAGUUAGAAGAAAGAUGCAAAUGGCUCGAGAAAAGGUUCAAGGCCAUGGAAAGCAUUGAGAAUUAUCGAGGGAUUGAUGCUAAAGACUUAAGCUUGGUCCCAGAUCUGGUACUGCCCCAUAAGUUCAAAAUGCCAGAAUUUAAGAAGUACAAUGGGACUAGUUGCCCGGAGGCACAUAUUACUAUGUUCUAUAGGCGUAUGGCUGGAUACGUCAACAACGACCAAUUGCUCAUACACUACUUUCAAGAUAGCCUCACAGGGGCAACGUCUAAGUGGUACAAUCAAUUGACGCGUACCCAGAUUAGUUCUUGGAGGGAUUUAGCACAAGCCUUUAUGAAACAAUACAGUCAUGUAGCUGAUAUGGUCCCUGACAGAAUUAUCCUGUAAAAUAUGGAGAAAAAGCCUAAUGAAAGUUUUAGGCAAUACGCACAAAGGUGGAGGGAGAUUGCCGUACAAGUUCAGCCACCACUCCUGGAAAAAGAGACAACAAUGCUCUUCAUCAAUACGCUGAAGGCCUCGUCCAUUACGCAUAUGUUAGGAAGCACAGCAAAAAGCUUUUCUGACAUAGUUAUGAAUGGUGAAAUGAUUGAGAAUGCUAUAAGAGCCGGAAAAAUUGAGGUGGAAGAGAGUGAUAAGAGGUCAACCCCAAGGAGAAGAGAAAAUGAGGUGAACAACACAGGUUACUCAAGGUCAGUAAGUCAUCCAAGUAAAGGGGUCGCUAGUCAACAAGGUUCAUCAAGACAAGAAUCUUAUGUGAAACAAGGCACUAAGAACCUCCAAUUCACGCCAAUUUCGAUGUCGUAUAAGGAGCUGUAUCAAAGCUUAUUCAAUGCGCGUAUUGUCGCCCCUCUCUAUACGAAACCUCCACAGCCUCCGUACCCCAAAUGGCACGAUGCGAAUGCACAAUGCGAGUAUCAUGUGGGAAAUACGGGGCAUUCCAUAGAAAACUAUAUUGCCUUUAAGAAAUUGAUUGAAAGGCUUAUCAGUAUGGGCGUCGUUAAAUUUGAUGAUUCCUCCAGUGCAGAAACUCCAUUACCCAAUAAUAAUUUAUAAGUGGAGUGAAUGCAAUGCAGAAGCAACUGAAGAAGGGACCUUGUUAGAUAUUUUCCCUUAUAAACGUGGAAGUGUUCUAAGCAAUUCGACUGCGGAAGAAAACCCUAUAGUCUCUAGAGCCUUUUAAAGUAAUGUUCAGAACAUUUUUGUUGUUCUUAGCCUAGAAAUGAUAGAAAUUCCUUUGUGAAAUAGGCUUAUGUCUAAACGUUAUUAUUUUAAUGAAAUACAUCUUUACGAUUAUUUUUGAGCCGAUAUUUUCAUUCUUUAUGAAUAAUUCUAUACUCUUUCAUUCUUUUGGAUUUUCUUCCAAACCAUCAUUCAUUCAUAAUAUAUUGUAAAUAAUCAUUCAUAAAUUUAUACAUUCUUUUGUAUAUUCCUCAGUGCUUAUUAUGGGUCCCCAGAUAUCAAUGACGUGAAUGAUUCUGCUACAGACCCAGAUUUUCCUUUUGAGCAAGGCAUGUGUUCAGAGGGAUCUCAGGACUUUGAAAAUGACAAAGAUUGUAGCUUACCUCCGGACUUAUUGAGGAUGGUUGAGCAGGAGGAUAGACAGAUCCUACCUCACAAUGAAUCAUUAAGAAUUCUGAGCUUGGAAUUGACUUGUCCUAAAAAAUGAAGCAAUACCUUGUUCAAAGAGGUCUUUGUAGGAUCAUACCAGGAUAUGUUGGGUUAAGCACUGAUAAUGAAAUCUGCACAACAGCACGAUGUCAAAACUUGUAUGAAUGAUACAAUUCUUUGUCGGGGCAAUGUCGUUCUCGUCAAUUCAGCAUAGCUUUGCCAGUUUGAAGUCGAGUUUCUAUCCCUUCAAGAUGUUGUUGGAUUUUAUCCCGAUGGAAGAGGAAGAUCAAAAGUUUCCAGUUGUAGUUUCACCCUAAAAGGCUCUAUAAAGGAAAUCCAAUAUCAGAGAAGAUCCUUUGAAAGGGAUAACAAGGACUUGCCUAAUCCCAAGAGUUCAAAUCCGAUUCGAAAAAGGAAAAAGAAAAGAAGAAAAAAUCAAAAUCAAGAUCAAAAUGAAAAUGAGAAAAAGAAAGAAGAAUGAAAAAAGAGAAAUCUAGAUGAAAAAAUCAGAAUGAAAAAGAAAAGAAAAAGAAAAGGAGAGGCCAAAGCGAAAACCCGCAAAGGGCACUCUGAGUCAAAAAAAAAGAAAAAAAAAUGAGAAUGAAAAAUGAAAAAUGAAAAUGAAAAAUGGAGAGGCUAAGGGGAAAACUCGAAAAGGGCACCUUAGGCCAAUGGGGAUUUGAGUUGAAAACCCGAAAAGGGCGGCUCAAAUAUUUGUUCAGAAUGGGGCAUGAGGCGAUUAGAGCGAUUCAAAUUUUGAUCAUAUUGGGGCAUGUGGUGAUCUUGCUAUACCUGAAUCAACAGGAAGGGAUAGGCGACAUCUUGGGGCAUCGACAAAGCACUGUAGAUCUCCUAAACUCAUGUCAAACUCAAAAUGGUCUUUAGAAAGCUUGUACAGAGAAGUUCAAGCUGCAAUAUCUGAGGCACCCAAUUCUCAUAUUAUUUUUUGUUCUUGGAAUACCUUUUUUCUUUUCCAAGAUAUACAUUCCCAAUCAAUUUCUUUGUCAUCCUUCUUUACUAUUUUUUGAAUAACUUGAUCUUUCGAGCUAUGCUCAGAACCAACUUUAUUCUUAUCCAUUGUUAUGACCCUUUUUGCAAGCAUGUUGCAUUGGAAUAAUGAAUAAUUGACUAAUAAAACUUUCACAAAGGAAGUUUUGCAUAUUACUCUGAAAAGUUUCUAAAUAAUAUAGGAGCCUGAAGCAGGACUAUUGUUUAGAACACACCAAUUUUAAAGGUUGGAAAUUUGAGAAGGAAUAGUCUAAAUUUAGACUUUCUCUUUGGAUUCAUGUUUUCAAAUACGUUGAUUGACAAGACGCCAUGUUGGUGACAAAGCUUACAUAAACAAGCAAACGAUGAUCACCAGGCAAGAGGAAGAGGUUACCUCGGAGAAAAGAGCCCUCAUUUGCGCAUAAGUAUUUGGUACGACACUUUGAGAAUGGUGUAAGAAACCAGAAUGAUUCAGAUCAUGUAUCCUUGAAUUGUGAUAAGAGAUGAUUGAGGAAAAGCCAUAUUUCUACCCUUGGAUUAUAGUUGGAGAAUGAUGGUACAAGUUCUGUGCCCCAUGAAUUAAACUUGGAGGGCAACCUGGCUAAAUGUUUCUUCAGAAAAGCCAGUCAAGCGAGAAGGCAUCGUAGCACGUCGGUCACAAAGCCUUAAUAAACUUCAAGUAAUGACAACCUAAGCGGGAGCAUUCUUGGAAAGAUAAAAUUCUACAUUCAUGCAAACACCAUUCACACAUGUUUAGUUAGGAGUGUUUGAUUUAUUUUGAUCAUGCCAUCCUAAUCAUUAGGCAUAAUUAGGUUAAUUAGACAGGUCAUGUUUCCCAGAGAACAGAUCAGUGAAGAUUAAAAAUAAAGCCUUGCCUCCAUCGGUUGCAGUGGAGCUGGUUAAAGAAGCAGAUCUUGCCUUCCUGCGUUAACAGCGAAGCAGAUCGAAAACAAAGCCUUUCCUCCAUCGGUUGCAGUGGAGCUAGUUAAAGAAACAGAUCUUGCCUUCCGCGUUAACAGCGAAACAGAUCGAAAACAAAGCCUUGCCUCCAUCGGUUGCAGUGGAGCUGGUUAAAGAAGCAGAUCUUGCCUUCCUGCGUUAACAGCGAAGCAAAUCGAAAACAAAGCCUUGCCUCCAUCGGUUGCAGUGGAACUGGUUAAAGAAGCAGAUCUUGCCUUCCUGCGUUAACAGCGGAGCAGAUCGAAAACAAAGCCUUGCCUCCAUAGGUUGCAGUGGAGCUGGUUAAAGAAACAGAUCUUGCCUUCCUGCGUUAACAGCGAAGCAGAUCGAAAACAAAGCCUUGCCUCCAUCAGUUGCAGUGGAGCUGGUUAAAGAAAUAGAUCUUGCCUUCCUGCGUUAACAGCGAAGCAGAUUGAAAACAAAGCCUUGCCUCCAUAGGUUGCAGUGGAGCUGGUUAAAGAAGCAGAUCUUGCCUUCCUGCGUUAACAGCGAAACAGAUCAAAAACAAAGCCUUGCCUCCAUCGGUUGCAGUGGAACUGGUUAAAGAAGCAGAUCUUGCCUUCCUGCGUUAACAGCGAAGUAGAUCAAAAACAAAGCCUUGCCUCCAUCGGUUGCAGUGGAGCUGGUUAAAGAAGCUGAUCUUGCCUUCCUGCGUUAACAGCGAAGCAGAUAAAAAACAAAGCCUUGCCUCCAUCGGUUGCAGUGGAGCUGGUUAAAGAAGCUGAUCUUGCCUUCUUGUGUUAACAGCGAAGUAGAUCGAAAACAAAGCCUUGCCUCCAUCGGUUGCAGUGGAGUUGGUUAAAGAAACAGAUCUUGCCUUCCUGCGUUAACAGCAGACCAGACUGAAGACCACAGAUCUUUUCUCCCUAAACAGUAGUGGAGCAGAUCGAAGACGGCGAAUCUUAUCUAAGCAGUAGUGAAGCAGAUUUAAGCCACCAGUCCUAUCUCCCUAAGCAGUAGUGGGGCAGGAUAAAGAUGGUAGAUCCUAUCUUCCUAAGCAGUAGUGAAGCAGAUUUAAGCCACCAGUCCUAUCUCCCUAAGCAAUAGUGGAGCAGGUCGAAGAUGGUAGAUCCUAUCUCCCUAAGCAGUAGUGGAGCAGGUCAAAGAUGGUAGAUCUUGCCUUCCUCAGCAGUAGCGGAGUAGAUCGAGGACGGCAAAUCUUAUCUUUCCAAGGUAGUAGGAAGCAAAUUAAAGCCACCAGUCCUAUCUCCCUGAGCAGCAGUGGAGUAGGUUGAAGAUUGUAGAUCUUAUCUCCCUAAGCAGUAGUGGAGCAGAUCGCAUCAAGUCUUAUCUCCCUAAGCAGUAGUGGAGCAGACAGAAGAAACCAAUCCUAUCUCCCUAAGCAGUAGUGGAGUAGAUAGAGUAGAUAGAAGAAACCAAUCCUAUCUCCCUGAAGUAGCAGCGAAAGUAUUGUAUAUUGGCUAUAAAAAGCCAAUACGAUUUCUUUGUAAAAGAUGGGGGGUUUUGGAUUCUCAUUUCCUUUUCUUUUGUAAUAUUUUCACAGAAAUAAGAAACAAAUAUCAAAGGUGAUUUCCGGCCCUUUUCAUUUUCUUUUUUACAUAUUUUAACCUUUUUAUUGUAUUUUUUUCUUUUGGUUCAUCUAUUUAUAUACAUAUAAUAAAAAUAAAGAAAAAAGGGGAGAGACUCACCGAAAAUAGGGCUUGAAACGCCAGUUUUCGCACUUGAUCGGCCGUCGGUUUAACGCCGAUGCGGCAGGUGGACGAGCGGCGGUGAGAAGCCCGAUCGACAGAAGACAUGGGGGCAUUAAGAGGAUUUCUGCUUUUUUUCUGAUGGGGAAGGAAAACUGAAAAGAAUAAAAAAAUGGGUUUAAAAUAGAUAAAUGAAACGGCGCCGUUUUGAUGGGGUCAGGAAAGCCCCAAAACGACGUCGUUUUGGGCUCCUAGCCCGAGACCCGACUCGCCUACCCCAAGGGAUCCGCGUGUUUUGACGGAAGGGCUAAUUGCACGUUUAGCCCUUCCGCUUUUUAAUUAUUUUUAAAUCAGGUUUUUUAUAUUUUAAAUUUACCCCGUUAAUUUAUUGCGUUUUCAAUAUUUUUAAUUAUUUCAUAUUAUUAUUAUUAUUAUUAUUAUUAUUAUUAUUGCUUGUAUAUAUAUAGGAGUAUAUCUUUUUCUUUAUAUUUUUACAUAUAUACUUAUAUAAAUAGUUUUUAUAUUUUAUGAUAAUUAUAUACGUAUAUAUGUACAUAUUUACUUAUAUAUAUAUUUUAUAUAAUAAUUUUAGAAUACAUAUAUACAUAUAUUUUUCAUGUUUUUAUAAAUUUACGUACACUCGUUUUUAUAACGUAUAUACUUAUAUUUUAUAUAUCUUUGUAUUUUAUAAUCUAUAUACAUAUGCAUGUAAAUACUUAUAUUUUUAUAUCUUAUAAUUUAUAUAUAUUCUCAUAUUUACAUAAUUUUAUGUAUAUAUAUAUAUUUCCCUUAAAUGUACAUACACAUGUUCAUAUUUUAUAAUUUUCAUCUAUUUUCCUUUAUUUUUUUAUGUUCAUUUAUGUAUUUAUUUAAAUGUCUAUUUUCAUGUUUUAGUUUAUUUAUUUAUUUAUUUGUUAUGGUAUAUACAUGAUUUUUUUAUUUGUUUUUUUGCUCAUAUUAUUUUUGUUCACAUUAUCAUUUUUUUUCAUUAUGCAUAUUAACACCACACUUCAAAAAAGAAAAAUUUUCUAAAUGAGGCAAUAUUUAGCAUUUGGAAAUUCGAGAAAACGUGCCCUAAGGUGGUGGGUGUCGAUUUUUCUCGUUCAACCAAAUGGCUUAAUAUCCUUUUAAAAAUUUUUAAAAUAAGGCAAUGUUUUGCGUUUGGGAAAUUUGAGAAAACAUGCCCUAAGGUGCUGGGUGUCGAUUUUUCUCAUUCAACCAAAUGGUUAAAUAUCCUUUUAAAAUAUUUUCAAAAUAAGGCAAUGUUUUGUGUUUGGGAAAUUCGAGAAAACAUGUCCUAAGGUGCUGGGUGUCGAUUUUUCUCAUUCAACCAAAUGUCUAAAUAUCCUUUUAAAAAUUUCGAAGUAAGAUAAUAUUUUGCGUUUGGAAAUUUAAGGAAACGUGCCCUAAUGCGCUGGGUUUCGAUUUUUCCAUUUGACCAAAUAGCCAAAUAUUCUCUUAAAUCUUAAUCCAUGUCAUUCAAGUUUUUUUAGGAUCGUAUUUUAAAUCUCUUUAAAGUUUUUAAUUUUUCGACACUAAGACAUUGAGUAAUCAACUAGGUACCAAUUUUGGGCGUAUCGAGGGUGCUAAUCCUUCCUCGUGCGUAACCGACUCCCGAACCAGUUCUUCUAAAUUUCGUGGACCAAACUUGUUGUUUUAAUAAAAUCAAACCGUUUAUUAAAAACAACAUUUUUUCAAGGUGAUCCGAUCACACCUUAUCAAAAAGGAUCAGUGGCGAUUCCCAUUUUCGUUUUCAUUUUCCAAAACCCAAGUCGACCCCGUUUUUAUAAAAAAAUGGUGUCAACAUUACCUUUACUAAUUUAAAAUUUUAGAAAUUUUAAAGGAACCAUAUGAAAAAUUUUUCAUUUUAAGGUGGCCAAGACCUCUGUCAGCCCCUAAUUUCACCAUUGUAUAAGCCCUUAAUUUGUAAAGACCUACAUCUCUCUAAUGUUUUUUUUUUCGAGGAUAAUAUAUUGCUAGAUAAAUUUAAUAAAGAUAUUAGUGAAAUAUGAAGCACUAAAGGUUUUUGACUUUUUUUUAUUGAAUCUUUGAACAUAACAAAAAAUAUAUAUCUUAAUAAUAGACAUCGAUAAAUGUGUAUGCAUAUUUUCUUACUUUUUUUACGGUUGAUGAUUAUACAUUCAAUCAUUUUUGUAGUUUAAAAGUAAUUAAGAAUAUAAAAUAAUUAGAGGACAAAACACACAGGAUGAAAGUACUAGGGAGGUCACUCUAUUAUAGGGAUAGGAUUAAAUUAUUCCAUGUACUAUAAGGGCUAGUUAAUAUAUUAUUAUGGUUUUAUAAAAUAUUAAUUAUCACAUUAAUCAGUACUAAUUAGGCAUUAUAAGAGUUAUUUAAAUCCUAAAAGACUUACUUGUUUAAUUAUUAAUUAUUGUUUAUUUAAUGUAGAGGUGCUGAUGGGCUGGAUUAGGAAGAGUUCGGGUCGGGCCUAAGCAUGAUAGUAACAUAUUUUGUGCUUGUUCAAACCUUGCCUAACCCUAGAUAUGAGCUUAAAAUUUUACCCAAGACCCGCCCAUUUUUGCAAAAGACUAACCCAUGCCCAUUUUAGAUCCGCCUAUAUAAUUUUUUAUUUUUUAAAAUAUUAUAUUAUAGUAUUUUAAUAUUUAAUAAUUUUAUACAUUUUUUAUUUAUUGAAAUUUUUUAUAGUUAUCUUAACAUUAUUUUAAUGUUUACAUUAGAAUAAUAUUAUAUAUUUAGUAUAGGUUUAUUUUUUUAAUGUGUUCUGAAUUAUAAAAUAUAAAGUAUUAUAAACUUAAAAAUUGGCCGAGCUGAGCCGGAUUCAAGCUCGAGCCUGACCUAUAUUUUAGAUAAACUUAAAUUUUUUGUCCAAGUCCAGUUUUGGGCCUAAUAUUUUUAUCCAAACCCUUUCAAAUUUCAAUCGAACCUUCGAAUUUGAGCAAGUAGCCUGACUAAUGAAUAGUUCUAAUUUAAUGUUAUAAUAAAAUUAAAAUUUAAUAUAUAAUAGUCUCAAGAAUCCAUUAAUAAAUUAAUCAUUGGAACCAUUGAUUACUUUGAGCGAAUUUCCAUACUGAUGUUCCUUCAAGUAAGUUACAAUUAUGCCAUGGUUGAAGAUCAUCAGACACCGCGCUGUUCUAUCUGCACCAGCAAUGGGUGACAGAGAUAUCAUAUUCAAAUUAAUGAAUGGAAUAUUAUUUUAAUUGAUAAUAUAAUAAUAUUAAUUUUUUAUAAUUAUGUUAUAUGUUAUUUAUAUUAUGUGGAGUAAAAGUUUUAAAAUUUAUUGAAAUUUGUAAACAAAAUUCAAUAAAUUAAAAGAGCAAGUGUUAAAAAUAAAUGAAUAAAUAUAAAUACUUUACAAAAAAAUAUAAAAUGAAGAGUUGGAAUAAUAUCAUUUGUACUUCAAGCUAUAAAUUUUAAAUGGCACUCUUAUUAGAAGGAAUUAAACCUAUUUAAAUACUAUUCAGUAUUUAUGUUUAAUCUUCUAAAUAUGUAAAAAAUAAUCUUGACGGAUUAAAUUUAACACAUGUUUUUAACUCAAUUGAAAUUAUGAUCUAAUCUUCGUUAAAGGAUUUUCACCUUAUUAUUAUCUAUUUCGACAGAAAACCUAUUUAAUUUGUACUUCAAGCCAUGGAAUUUAAAUAAUUAUUUAUUAGAAGGGAUUAAAUCUAUUUAAGUACCAUUAAGGAUUUAUAUUUAAUCUUUCAAAUAUAUAAAAAUAGUUUUGACUAAUUAAAUUGAACACAUAAAUUGGUCUCUAACAAAAAUAGAAUGAUUUUUAACUCAGUUGAAAUUAUAAUUAAUCCUUAUUAAAGGAUUCUCACUUUAUUAUUACUUGCUUCGUCUCCAUUUUUGUCUCACAAUCUUGUUUCAAGUUGUUUCAUCUUCAACCUACAAAUAAAAUAUAGAUGUAAGUGAAUAUAUAUAAUGGAAAUAAAAUUUUAAUUAAAAAAAAGUGAAACCAAUCAAAAUGUAAACAUUUAGAUAAUGUAAAAAGGAAUGAAUUAAGUGACUAAAAUUUUAAAUGGUAUAAAAAACAAUGUUAUCAACAUUUGAGAUAUGUAGAUGUUGAAUAUGAAUAUGAAUAUGAAAAAAAAAUUUUAAAAUGUUUUGGCAUAUAAUGGAAGGAUCAUAUCUCAUAUGCAAAACAAGUCUAGAAUAAUUGUUUAAAUGGAAUACAAGAUGUGUAAAAAUACAAUUAAUAGGACGAAGUUUGUUAAGUAGUUUACCACAGUUAAUGCUUCUUUCUUGAUUGGCCCUUUACAAAAUUGAAAAAUUUUUGCAUCCGUUUUGGUUGCGGCUCUUCUUCCUCUGUUUCCUCAUAGAUAUUACGUUUUCGUUUUAUGUGAGAAGUGCUACCUACUGAUCCAUGGUUGUGAGCAGAGUGUUGGUGGAUGUGUUCAAAAUUUGGAGAAGAUUGGCUGGUAUCGCACUACAACUCUUUCAUUUCUUCCAAAUCUUUCUCAUACACUAUUCUAACACCACACUUCUUCACCUUAACAUUACGAGAAUUUGGUCCAAGUUCGAUAUUGAAAGACAACUCAAGCUCAUCUUCAAUUUGGUCUAAGCAAUCUGUUGUCCAUAAAUUAGUGGUUUCACAGUCGUCAUAUUUAUCCUCCAAGGAAGGAUAUGUAGCCUAAAAAAAUCAAGAAUAUAAAAUAAGAAAAUAAAAUAAAUAAUGUAUAAUGUAGGAGAAAAAAAGAAAUAGUAUGUAACUUUUGUUGAAUGACUUACAGUGUUUUUUGUUAGGACAUGAUGGACGUCUCUUUCCUCCCACAAUCUGCAACGUUUUCCAGGUUCAUCAAUACAUUUUUCUCUAACAAUUGUUCUUCCCAUCUCUUGUAACAAGUCAUGCAUCUUAAAAUUUUUGUUGUGUUUAUCGACUUUUACGAGAGAUUUUUUAACGAGAACAUCAAUUCCAAUAUCAGGAAAAAACUCACAACCAUCUAAUACUUUGAUUACAAAAUCUUUAUUCUCCCCAUUGAAGAAGCAUGCUAUAUCUAAAAAUAUAUUCUUCUCCCUUUCUUCCAGUCCUUCAAAAUUGAUUCGAAGUUUAUCGAAAAUUUCUUUAUUAGAAUCUCUUUUAAGUCUAUCAAUCGCACUUCUCCAUUGAGUCGCAUCUCUACCGCACAAGAAGGAACCCAAAACUUCAAGAGCUAAAGGGAGUCUGCCAGCAUAAUUUACAACAUGUUUAGAAAGCUCAAUGAAAUCAUCUUUCUGCACUAUAUCACUAUGAAAAGCUUUCAGACUGAAAAGUUGAAGCGCAUCUUUGGGAUUCAAUGUUGUGGGCUCAUACAUAUCAUCAACUGGCCAAGAUCGAAGCAAAUGUUCUUCUCUUGUUGUUACAACGAUUCUACUUCCUAAUCCGAACCAAUCGUGCCUUCCAACCAAGCAUUUUAAGUGUUGUAUGUUAUCAACAUUAUCAAGAACAACAAGAACCUUUUUGUGAGACAACCUAUGGCUAAUUAUGUCACUCCCUUCAUGAACAUCGAAAAAGUUGAAGCAUUCACCAUGAAAGAUCUGUGAAAGAAGUUGUUUCUGUAAAGAAACUAGUCCGCAUUUGUCUGAAACUUCUCGAAUAUCAGCAAUAAAGCUUUUACCUUCAAAAUGAGAUGACAUUUGAGUGUAAGCAACUCUUGCGAGUGUCGUUUUACCGAUACCACCCAUUCCGCAAAUUCCUAUAACGCGGACAUCAUCUUCCCCAAUGUUUAUUUUCAAAUAUAAAUCCUCCAAGCGUUCACUAAUUCCAACCAAGUCGCUAUGAGUAGCUGGAUACGUCUGACAUAGUUUUGCUGAUAUCUUCUUGACAAUGUCUUUAAUAAAUUCUGAUUCAUGCCUAAAAAAAAAGAGAGGAAAAUUUAUUGUUUUGAAUAAAAAUUUGUUGAUAUGUUUCAAAAAAACUUUCUUUUUCAAUGAAUCAUCAAACAUAAUAUAGUUUGGAAGCAAACGAGAACCAAGAAUAAGAAAGCAAGAUCUGUUGUGGAGCCAGAAUACAAAGUUUGCUCUUUUAUUGAAAUAUGACACUUUUCAAUUAAACACAUAGGAUUAGAAAGAAAAAAAAGAUAUACAUAUAUAUGCAAAAAACUAGAAAAUAAAGAAGAAAAGAAAGAAUUACCUGUUAUUUAAAUGCCAUCCCUUGAUUCCAGCCACUUGAAUUAAAGCAUUUCGCCAUCUUUGGAUCUUCUCACUAUCUUCUUUGUAUCUCUCUUUAUGUCUGGCAAAGGCUUCUUCCACUUUCUCUUUUUGUUUUCUUAAAUCAGAUGGACCAACAUGGUAAAAAAUUGGAAACACUUUAUGGCCGUCGUUGUUAUGUUGUUUAACAAUCUCAGCAAGCUCCUCCAAGCACCAACUUGAAAAGGCAUAAGUUUGUGAGAAAACGAUUACCGAGCACCAUGAUUGCUGAAUAGCUUUAAAGAGUUCAGGUGUGAUCUCUUCGCCGGCCUCCAGCUUUGGAUCAUCUCUGAAAGUGACGAUCCCACUCCUACUUAGAGCAUCAUAGAGAUGAUCGGUAAAGUUGUUGCGGGUAUCUUCACCUCUGAAACUCAAGAAAACAUCAUAUUUUUUUCUAGAAAUGGAGGAAGAAGUUGAAGGUAACGACAACAUGAGGAUGUAUGAAAGGAGAAGGAUAUUUCAAUCUGGUGUUCAAAAUCAGAAAAUAAUGAAUAUAUGAGGAAAAACAUAUCAAAAAUAGAAGAGGGCCGGGUGAUAUGUUCUUUCCAUGAAGGUGAGAGUUAAAAAUGUUGGACGGUUUGCAUUUUAUGUACUUAAUGAAAGAUAAUAAUUAAAAACAUUACUUUUCGAAAUGAAAGGGACUAGGUGUGGAAAUUCGGGCCGGGCCUCGGGCACCACUUUUUUGGCCCGGGCCCGGCCCGAAUAUAAUAAAUAUUUUUUUUUAUUUUUUUAAUUUUAAAAUACUUUUAAAAUACUUUUUUUAAAAUUUUUUUAAUUUUAAAAUAUUUUUAAAAUACUUUUAAAAUUUUUUUAAUUUUAAAAUAUUUUUAAAAUAUUUUUUUUUUAAUUUUUAAAAUAAAUUUUUGAUAUUUAUUUAAAAAACGGGCCGUUCCGGGCCGGGCCCGGGCUUAUGAAUUUUUUCUCGGGCCGGGCUUGGGAAAAAUUCUAGGCCCAUAUUUCGGGCCGGGCCGGGCCCGGGCCUAGGACCCAGGCCAAAAUUUUUUCUGUGCCCGGCCCAUGAGCAGCUCUAGUUUGGAGGCAACAAUAGCAGAAAAUUUCAUCUCUGAGCUAACCCAGGGGCCUUUUCACCAUUCUCUCUCUAUCACUCGAGGCUCCCAUCUUCACCACCAACAUCACCAAUACACCCGGGCCUCAUCACUCUCAUCUUCCAUUACCGACCACCAUCCCAAACAGCUCCCCCUCACCUUUGAACCUCUCAAAACAACAACCUCAUUGCCCUCAAGCUCGUAGGUGUGGAAAUUGGGGGAUGAUAGAUGUUCUCUCCACGAAGAUUCUAAGAAAGAGUUCACAAAAUGAACCUAAACUCUAAAAUUCAAACAAAAGUAAACUAUAAAAAUAGUCACUUUUAUUUGCCGCAAAUUACAUUUUAAUCACUUAUGUUUAAAAUGCUAUGUUUUAGCCACUUACGUUAUCGUUUUGUUACGAAGUAGUCACUCUUUAGUUAAGUUCAGUUAUCUCCCUAAUGACAAUCCAACGUGGCAAUCUAAAUGGGUUUUAAAUGACAACUUGGAUUUUCAACUAGGAUGUGAAUAAUUUUUUCAGUUAAAAUGAAAAGGAAAACUAAAAAGAAAAAAGAGAUGAAUGAUUUUUCUUUUCCAGUUCAACAUGUAAUUAAUUUAAAAUUUUUAAUUAAUUAAAUUUAUUUAAUUAAAAACCUAUUGUCGUACCAAUUAGACAUCCAAGUUGGCAUUUAAAACCUAUUUAGACUACCACAUAGAAUUGCCGUUAGGGAGGUAACGGAACUUAAUGGUAGAGUGACCACUUCGUAACAAAACGAUACGCAAGUGACUAAAACAUAAGUGACUAAAAUUUAAUCUAAGUGAAACAAAAGUGACUAUAUUUGUAGUUUACCCAAAAAAAUCAAUCAUAAUUUAAAAAGUUAUAUAAUAUUAAAAUACAUAAUUUUUUUUAAAAAUAGAAAAAUCAUAAACAUAAAGAAGAAUUUUAAAUGGUCUAAAAAUACUAUGUUAUCAACAUUUGGAUAUGCAUUGAGCUCAUGUUGAAUAUGAGUAUAAAUAAAAAAAAUUAAAAAAAAUUUUAUAUAUAAGAAGGAUUAUAUCUCAUAAGCAAAUAGGUUUACAUAGAUGUGUAAAAAAAAACUAAUAGGACAAAGUUGGCCCAUUAUAAAAUUAAAAAUUUUUUGCAUCCGUUUUGGUUGGGGCCCUUCUUCCUCUACUUCAUCAUAGACAUUACGUUUUCGUUUUAUGUGAGAAGUGCUACCUACUGAUCAAUCGUUGGUUCAAAAAUUGGAGAAGAUUGAGUGGCAUAUUUUUAUGUAUUAAUUACAUAUAUAUUUUAAGCACGAUCCUACUAAUUUGGGUUGUUUAUGGUUUUUCAUCUUGUAGGGACUAAAUUGAAGACAAAAGGAAAGGUUUUUCAUCUUGUAGGGACUAAAUUGAAGAUAAAAGGAAAUUUAGGGAUAAAAAGCGUGAAUUUAAAGACAAAAUAGGUUAGCAUGCAAAAUAGAAAAGAAAUGGUGCCGAAAAUACAAACUAUGAAAGACUUGGGGGUAAAAAUUCAAAGAAGAGAUUUAUAAACAUAAGACUCUAUUUAAAUUUAAAUUUUUUAGGAUUAUUAUUUAGAUCUAAAUUCAACUUUUAUCUUUAUUUAUCUUUUAGAGUUUAAAUAGGAACAAACUAGGUUUUUUAUUUACUAUAAAUAAAGGAUGGAGUGACAUAAUUAUUCACUCAUCAAUUAUUGUAAAACACUCAUUUCCCCUAAGGCUUUAGCCUUUUUGUUCCUUUUAUUUUAUUUCCCAAUAAAAUUUCAUUCCAUUAAACUUACUUCGUUUUCUCAAAAAGCAUGAGCCACUAAAUUAUCUAGCCAAAGGUUGUUGAGAUUCCCCAAAAAAGGUUCAUGAGGCUUAGGACCCGCACUUAACAUUCUCAACGAGUAUUCAUCAUUUCUCUGUAUUAUGGGACUGAUGCUUCUGUCCAUGACCUUCUAAAACUGAUUUUUUUAUCUUGUGCAAAGGUAACCUCUUCGUAUAUUUUUGGAAGGUUGCACAAUCGGUUUGUUAACUUACUGCGUCAGAAGUUGUUGAGCCCUAGAGACAAAAUGACGUGGCAUUCGCUAUUGAGAAAUGAUGAUCUAAUGUAAGACGGUCCCACGAAAGUGAUGAUUGGCUAGAGUCAGGUUCCUCUAAAUCGUAAGUAUAAAAUCUAAGUGGAGUUAGUGGUCAUAGGCAUCCUUUUCCACUAUAACUAACUGGCUUAUUCUGUCAUGAGAAGGAUUAUGUACGCCGCUUUUUCUCGGGCGCGACUAUGCCCAGGAUUUCGAGGAACAAGAAGUUGUAGCAAUCCAGUUCCUGAGAAUUUGACCCUACUUUUCUUAUACUAUUCUUUUCAUUAUAGGGAUAGAUUAAUUUUAGUGCUUUCAACAACACACUUAUACACUAUUCUAACACCACACUUCUUCACCUCCAAAUUGCAAUCAUAUGCAUAUAUGAAACACAUCCCAGGCUCAUCGCAAUUUUGAUCUAAGCAAUCUAUUGACAAUAAAUUAUUGAAUUCAUCACAGUCACCAUAUUUAUCCUCUAAGGAAAUUGGAUAUAGUUUAUCAUGCGACCAAUAAUGAAGCAAAAUGUGACCUUUCAUUAUUCCUUUACCCAAGAACGAGCAUCUUUAACCAAGCUAUCUACAAUUUCUACCUUGAAAAAUAAAUCCUCCACAACCGAUAGAAUGUCCUGAAGCAUCAUUGUCAAAAAUGCAACAAGAAGCAACUCCAAUCCAUUGACUAUCUUUCUGAAUGCUGAUAGGUAGGGGUAUCUUAAUUAGAAUAUAAUUUUAAAUACUGAUAAGCUAUAAAAGUAAUAUAUUUUAAUCUCAUUCUUAAUGUAUUUUUCGAUAAUUAAUUAUGUAAAUUAGUGAAUUUGAUGCUCUUAAUAUUUUAAAUUCAUGUUUCUAUACUUAGGAGAGCAUCUCUACCGCAUAAAAAGCAACCCAAAAUUUCAAGAGCUAACGGGAGCCCACCAGCAUAUUUUACAACAUGGUAAGAAAACUCAAUGACAUCAUCUUUCGGCACUGUAUCACUAUGAAAAGCUUUCAGACUGAAAAGUUGAAGCGCAUCUUUGGGCUUCAAUGUUGUGGGCUCAUACAUAUCAUCAACUGGCCAAGACCGAAGCAAAUGUUCUUCUCUUGUUGUUACAAUGAUUCUACUCCCUAAUCCGAACCAAUCAUGCCUUCCAACCAAGCAUUUUAAGUGUUGUAUGUUAUCAUCAUCAUCAAGAACAACAAGAACCUUUUUGCGAGACAACAUAUGACUAAUUAUAUCAUUCCCUUCAUGAACAUUGAAAAAUUUGAAGCAUUCAUCAUGAAAAAUCUCCGAAAGAAGUUGUUUCUGUAAAGAAACUAAUCCACAUUUGUCUGAAACUUCUCGAAUAUCAGCAAUAAAGCUUUUACUUUCAAAAUGAUGUGAUAUUUG